rnacentral:rRNA from 1 species
UCGGUGGGGAAGAAAUUCUCAAGGAUAAUACCCUUUUGAGCGUUGACGUUACCCACAGAAGAAGCACUGGCUAACUCUGUGCCAGCAGCCGCGGUAAUACAGAGAGUGCAAGCGUUAAUCGGAAUCACUGGGCGUAAAGCGCGCGUAGGUGGAUAUUUAAGUCGGAUGUGAAAGCCCUAGGCUUAACCUGGGAAUUACAUCCGAUACUAGGUAUCUCGAGUAUGAUAGAGGGAAGUGGAAUUUCCGGUGUAGCGGUGAAAUGCGUAGAUAUCGGAAAGAACAUCAGUGGCGAAGGCGGCUUCCUGGAGCAAUACUGACACUGAGGCGCGAAAGCGUGGGGAGCAAACAGGAUUAGAGACCCUGGUAGUCCACGCCGUCAACGAUGAGAACUAGCUGUUGGAAAGUUUACUUUCUAGUAGCAAAGCUAACGCGUUAAGUUCUCCGCCUGGGGAGUACGGCCGCAAGGUUAAAACUCAAAGAAAUUGACGGGGGCCCGCACAAGCGGUGGAGCAUGUGGUUUAAUUCGAUGCAACGCGAAAAACCUUACCUACCCUUGACAUCCUCGGAACUUGUCAGAAAUGACUUGGUGCCU